CCCUGCUCUGGGAUUUUGUCCAUUUUCAUUGAACAUGCUCAUUUGGGAUGCUGUUCUGAUGGAUCAAAAUGUCUCGCUAAUAUUUUCAGGGAGUAAAUGGUACAUUAGAACGUGCAUUUAACUACUAUAGAAACAAUCAUGAGGGCUGGCAGCAGCUUGUUCAGAAGGGCAUGAAUAUUGAUUUUAGUUGGGAAUCUACAGCAUCACAGUACGGACCUCUACUCAAAAUCAGUGGCCAGAUCAAGGGCGGCAGCAAGUCAGUCUAAGGCAUCGUAAGUAGGCAUUUUCACGGAAGCUGUGGAACUGUACUUGAUUUAACUUGAUUCAUGGCUGUGAAUUUGUAGGCCAUGAACUAAGAAAACUAGGCCAGCAAAGUGCCUUUACAGACAUGUCCUGUAACUUUCUCUUCUUUCUUUUCUCCCCUUUCGUUUUGGGGUUGGUUGUAGGGGAAAAAGGGUGUGGUUGGGUGCGUGGGAAUGAAGGUACAGACCACGCAAUUCUUUUGUUGAUAAACAUUAUAAUAUGUCAAUGUAUACCAGAAAUUCAGAGUCAGUGUUUACAGCUUUUCCUUGUCAUUGUUCUAGGCUCAUCUUUUCCUGAUCCAUAUGUUUGAAAUUUACUAUUUUCCACCUUACAAACGCAGUUCCAAGUCUGCGUUUCAGAAACUCCGACCGUCUAAAUUGAAAUAACCAAUCAUUUUCAUCUUAUUGGUUAACGGGGUCGGUGUUACCCUGCGUUUCACAAACUGCCAUGACACUUACUACAAUUUGAUUUACCGUGCCUUACAACAAUUUGCUUUACCGUGCCCCUAAUUAUUGCAUAGUUUCAUGGAAUUUACUGUU
rnacentral:misc_RNA from 1 species